CUGGCUCAGAUUGAACGCUGGCGGCAGGCCUAACACAUGCAAGUCGAGCGGCAGCACGGGUACUUGUACCUGGUGGCGAGCGGCGGACGGGUGAGUAAUGCCUAGGAAUCUGCCUGGUAGUGGGGGAUAACGCUCGGAAACGGACGCUAAUACCGCAUACGUCCUACGGGAGAAAGCAGGGGACCUUCGGGCCUUGCGCUAUCAGAUGAGCCUAGGUCGGAUUAGCUAGUUGGUGAGGUAAUGGCUCACCAAGGCGACGAUCCGUAACUGGUCUGAGAGGAUGAUCAGUCACACUGGAACUGAGACACGGUCCAGACUCCUACGGGAGGCAGCAGUGGGGAAUAUUGGACAAUGGGCGAAAGCCUGAUCCAGCCAUGCCGCGUGUGUGAAGAAGGUCUUCGGAUUGUAAAGCACUUUAAGUUGGGAGGAAGGGCAUUUACCUAAUACGUAAGUGUUUUGACGUUACCGACAGAAUAAGCACCGGCUAACUCUGUGCCAGCAGCCGCGGUAAUACAGAGGGUGCAAGCGUUAAUCGGAAUUACUGGGCGUAAAGCGCGCGUAGGUGGUUCGUUAAGUUGGAUGUGAAAUCCCCGGGCUCAACCUGGGAACUGCAUUCAAAACUGUCGAGCUAGAGUAUGGUAGAGGGUGGGUGGAAUUUCCUGUGUAGCGGUGAAAUGCGUAGAUAUAGGAAGGAACACCAGUGGCGAAGGCGACCACCUGGACUGAUACUGACACUGAGGUGCGAAAGCGUGGGGAGCAAACAGGAUUAGAUACC
rnacentral:rRNA from 1 species